AUGAUCCAACAACAGCUGCCGUUUUGAAAUCCAUGAUAGACACCAUGUGACAGCCGCCAUCUCCCAAGAAUCUCUGCUGUGACAUAAUCAUCUUGAAUAAUCAUCGGACGUCGACAUAUAUUUCAUCGGAAAAUAUCAACAUUAUCGAACAUCAUCAUCGGACAAUUUAUCCCAUCACUAAUCAUCAACAACAGCCGAAAAUAACAUUGCUCAUCAUUAUCUCAUCAUUACUUUUCUUUUGUCUGCAUCUUUUCAAACACAUCCAGUUCAUCCUUCAUUCAUUGAUCAACAGUUUAUCUUUCAUUCAUCUUAUGUAAAUUAUUCAUUCAUCAAUCAUCAUUCAUCAGCAUCAGUUCUCACUGUUGACAUCCUCCGUCAUUCAUUGUUCCGUCGACCUGCAACUCAUCGUUAAACACCCUCCGGUUACCUGCAACCUCCGUUAUCAACCUCCGUUUCCAGCGACUCUAACACAUCUCCGAUAAUCUUCAACUUCUAGGGCGACAACCACCCGGAAAACUCCAUCACAAACAACUCCGCCGCACCUGUGCCGACCACCGCCGUGUAACCUGCAACUCCAUCUUCUGUCUCCUUCAAACUUUUCAUCCCCAUCAACUUCUCCGGUGACCGAAACCUGCAAUAUCGACCACCGCCGUUCUCUGAUCUCCAUCGCUGGUCAUCCUGCCGUCCACUAUUAGUUCCAACAACCCCAACGGACCAACCUUUUCAGCUUGUAUCCACUGCACGGUUCAGCUUCCGACCUCCGGCAGAUCUUAUAAUUUUCAGAUCUGUGGAUGAAUAUUAGAUUUCAAUGAACCGAGAUCUCUUUCCAUUUAUGAACAUUCAUCCCCCGACACUUGUGCAAUGCUUCUUCUUGUUCUUCGAGCGAUACCAAAAACCGAGCCUUUAAAAGACUUCAAUGGCUCUGAUACCACUUGUAAGUCCCGAAAAAACCCGUGAUAUCACUCGACGGUCAAUCGAACGCGGAAAAUAAGAUUAAACCGACAAGAACAAAAAGAAAUCUUUUAUUUAAAGAACUCAGUGCCGCUGCUUAGAUCGCACACAGUCUCAAGGACUGUCUGGUACGAUCUUCGAGAACCUUGCACACAAUCCCUAGGAUUGUCGGGUACAAGGCUCUCUAUUUGGGGCUACAUGAUUACAAGAAUGGGAGAGCUCUACUACAAUAACCUAAUCAAGACUAUAUAUAGGAGCAUCUACCCUAAUGGCCCACAUGGCCUAGCCCAAGCCCAAAACCUAAUCUAAACCCCAAUUAAUACAUAAAUUAAUACAAUAAAGAUAAGCGUAAAACUUCUACACCUAACACUUAUACUUUGACAACCAAACCUAUGAUCCUCGAACUAAAAUACUUUGAAUAAUUUCAAUUUGAGGAUAUUUGAUCUAGGAUCAUAUCCUAAGUUUAUUAAACACUUUUUCAACUCUCGUUAUUUUAACAAAUAUAGCAAUUGAGAAAUAAGAGGAUUAUUGAAGGAUAACAACACAAGAUAAGCCAGAAAAGUUAAGUUAUAUCAUUAAGCAAAAGGAUCAUUAACCCCUUUCAAAAAGAUUGUCAAAAUUGCCAACCCACAUUUCUACCAGCAAAACGUGGCCCGUCCACAUGGGUUGGCAAAGGGUGUCCAUUGUCUAUGCGGUCCUUAGCAUUUUGCAGGAAAUAAAGGCGGCAGGAUCACAAAGGCUUCAUCCCCCAAACAGAGGGUCCCUCCACCUUUUGUAAUCCUACCCAUUGUCUAAAAGGAUCCAGGAUCCUUAACCCUAAGAAACUAUUGUUUAAGUUACAGACCAUAAAUUGUUCCAAAUACCACAACCACAAACCACUAACAAACCUAAAAAAAUUGGGCUCCGGCCUAGUCAACAAUAUCCAUCAUCGCCCAAUCAUGCAGCCUACGACCUUCGCUGCUUCAUCACCACCAGCAUCUCCACCUUGAUCCUUCUCAGCAUCACCACCUUCCAGCAUGGGGAUCUCCUCAGCCUCAUCCUCGUCCUCCAGGUCUGCCAGCCUUGCCUUCCAACCUUCAACAUCCCACGAGCCUUUGUCAAAGGUAGGAUCCUGAGCCUCCUCGGCCAUCUGAAGUUGAAUCUUAUACAUAGCAAUUGCCGCGGAGACCUUAGCAUCUUGGGUGAUCUCCUGCUUCUCGUUAUCCAUAUCAAUCAACCUCUGAGCAGCCUCAGCCUUCAUGACCCGGAGUUCCUUCUCAAGAUCUCCUAUCUUGAGAUCCUUAAGCACGCCCAUUUGUUGAAGGUCAGCAAUCUGGCUCUCCUGGUCCUCAACAUUGCCAAGAUAAGUUUCAAUCUCAGCAAGUUUCUGCAAACAAGAGAAUAAAGACAAGCUCAGACUCAGGUAAUCCUCAAGAAAAGCAGGAUACACAAACAGGAUAUGAUAGGCGGAUAGCCUACAGGGGCAGUGAUCCUUACCUCAUUCACGUAGUCAAGGAAUUGCUGACGGAGGAGGGGAAAUCCUUGUAGAUCUUCAGUAGUCUUCCUCUUCUUCCCCUUGCCCCGGAUAGACGCUUUGGGAGCUGAGACUGAAGGACUGGGCAGCAGGAGCCUUCUUCUUUGAAGACGUGACAUUGGCAAGAUCACUGAUCCCAAAUUUGGAGGCUGAUUUAACGGACCUGGCAGAUUUUCCAGCACCUACACAAUCAAAAAAACAAGAUAAGUUGCUUUAUUAAUCAAACAAUCCUACAUAUAAUUUAUUUUCUGUAAGGAUACUUACUUGACAUAGUGGCAGAUGCAGAGGAUACUUCUUGAGAAUCUUGGAUGGUGACUUGGAAGCUUCUGACUUCAGGAUCAAGCUUUUUAAAAGCUAACACUCUUUCUCUGGCAGCAGGGGUCAACUUUAAGUGAGCAACGGAGAUAGCUGCAUAAAA
rnacentral:lncRNA from 1 species